rnacentral:lncRNA from 1 species
GCAGGAACCACCUGACGUCAUGCACAAUUUUGCGCCUGGGUAUUAGAGUGGAUAUUGUAGGAGCUUGUAUAAGUUGUGAAAGUGGAAUUUAACCCCGACCUUGACCUUUGUUGUUAGUAGGUCAUGUAGGAGUCGCUUUUGUAGUAAGUUUGUACAUAUCAUACUCCUUGGGUUAACCUAUUAAUGAAUAAAUCAUAGUUUGUGAAAAAUUGUUGUGUUUGUACUAUCAUUAUUUCUGAUGGUUGACUGGGUGUGUAUUUAAUUCGCUUCUGCAUGUGUUUAAUCGAAAGAUUAAAAGAAUGGGUCGACGACGCAUCCUAUGACAUUGCAUUUCCAAUCGACCACCGAGAGAUGUGCACGUACUCGGGAUUCGAGGCAUGACAUCCCCGCCCGAAAUGGUAUCAGAGCCUAGUCAAUGUCUAGAGUGAUAAGGGGCGAUUGGUUAUGGAAUAGUUAGUAGGAAAAACAUUUUCCUUAUGCGUGUGAUUGAUUGAUUAUUUUGUACGGAUCACUCAGAUUCUAAUUCCGUGUUAGAAUUGGAAAGUAUGUUUCUGUAAAAAAAAAUUCCCCAGACCAUAUAGCUAAUCUUUAGGGUAAAUAAAAUAUGGAAGCUUAUUUCAUGGUAAAAACAACGUCCGGUUCACUCCAAUCUUAGUAUUGUUUAUUUAGAUAAAAAGAAGCCAGGCUUACAAGAAUCCCUUAUAUCUCAGCCUAAGGGUAGGAGGAUGAGCAUGAAACCUAAAGAUUCAACAUCCUGCCUGUAGCAGGUAGGGCUAGGGUGUAGGGUAUUAUUCAUGAUAGGUUUGUUCCACACCAGAAUCAACAUCUGGAGAAUCCUAUUUAGGGUUCUUUUUCUCUAUAUCUAAGGGAGGACCUUAUAACAUCAAAACAGUGCGAAAUACCUAACCCCUGUUUCCACAUCACGUUCACGGGAGAAAUUCACCCUGCAAGAUGAGCGAUCCUGAGCAAAUAGCCCCUUGAAGAAGGGCUAUAGUAGCUGUGACAGGUGCCAGAGGAAGGGCACCGAGAUGAGCGAGUGCUAGAGGUAAAGCAUCAACUUCGGCUAGUACUGGGGGAAGAGUACCACCUCAGGCUGGUGCUAACAAAGGAGCACCAGGCGAUCUUAGGUUGGAUGGGACUGUGCAAGCGUUAGAAACUCUAGGGAAUAUAAUCGGUCAGCGAGCUCAAAACCAAGUUAUUGCUACUGCUAUCGCACCUGCUAAAGUCCCACCAUGAAAUGGGAAUGGUGAACAACUCAUGCAUAAGCUGGUGGAGCAGUUCUUGAAACUAAAACCACCAAGGUUCACUGGAGCGAGCGAUCCAUAAGAUGUAAUCUUCUGGAUCUGAGAACUAGAGAAAGUCUUCACACUGCUGAGAUGCUCUGAAGAAGACAAGGUAGCCUUGACUGUCUACCAGUUACAAGGUAACAUGAGUACUUUGUGGGAAGCCACCAAAUGAAGAGUAUUUCUCGAAAGUACGGUCCCAUAGUGGGAUGCCUACAUUGAGGCCUUCUACGGAAAGUACAUUUCAAAUUGUGUGCGAGAGCAGAAAAUGGCCGAGUUCCAACAUCUUCGUCAAAGUCAAAUGUUCGUGGACCAAUACGAAGCAAAGUUUGCUGAGUUAUCCAAGUAUGCACUGAGGCUAAUUGAGAACCCGCUAGACCGGGCGAAGAGGUUCAAAGAUGGUCUAAGGUCAGAGAUCAAGGACCCGCUAGUACCAUUGAAUCUCAAAGAAUAUGAUGAGUUGUACAAGAGGGCCCAACUGAUAGAGAGGAAUCUAAACAAACGGGCUGCCGCAUUUGGUUCACGGUUUGUGCCAAUAGAGAUAGCAACCAGUUUGGGAAGAGGCCAAUAAUGGGAGGAAAGUAUUGCAUUCCUCUCAACCAAGAGGGUGGAAUUGGGAAGCCGGCACUCAACUCGAAUGGCAAGUCGUGCGAGUCCCCCCCCCCCCCCUCCCCUCUUGUCAUUAAUUUUCUGUUCUGUUCUAGCAGAGCACUUGCACUGUACACUAGAUACGAGCAGUCUAAAAAGAAAAUUUGAAGUACAAAAAGGACUAAUAUAACGGUCCCUAGUAUUUUCAAAAGCAGAAGAAAACAAAAAAAAAAAAAAACCUUGCAGAUGGUAAGGUUCCCAUGAGCUGAUCAAAUGGUUUGAAAGGCUCUCCCAAGAAGAAUGUGAUCUCCAGGCCAGCUAAAUCCUCGAGAUCAGAAGCAAAUGGAACAUGAUGGACUGGAUAGUACUUGAACAAGCAUGUAUACAACUUUCAAUAAUUCAGAUAUAAAAAAUAGGCUAAUAAAAACUAGUGUAGCAUGAAAACCAAAUUGCAACUUAACAGUAGCACUGACAGUAGGGAAAUCAUAGUAUGGUUAUUCAAUACAUUUCGAGUAAAGCUACCCAGAAAAUGAAGCAUGCAGGAUUCAUCUGACUAAACAAAAUAACAAGAUUUUUGCUCCAUAUCCCAGUAGGAGGUCUUCAAAGUACCGUCCAAUACGCACAGUUAAUAAGCACAUUCUAGGCAAUGGAAUCGGAUAAUUGCUAUUAAAAGGCACGUAAAGAUGGAUUAGUAUUGUUUCUUGCAGACCUUAAUUGUAAAACUCACCAUUGCCAGGAUCGAACACCUUGGUAAUAAUACCAACAGACCCAAUGUAAACCUUCGACGUAUUUCAAAACCUGCAAAGUAGAAAUGCCAUCAACCAUUAACCUCGAUACAAAACUGCAGUUGUAAUAAUCAGACAGAUAGGAAAAUACUAGCAAUUGAGAACUUCACAAACAAAAGAAAUAACAGUUAUCCAAGGGCAAAUGUACUGACGAGGCCACACAAUCUAUGAGAAGGAACUGCGGCCGAAACUGAAGCAUCUGACAAUGAGGAAAUCAUCCAAUUGAUAAGUCCAUGAUAUAUCUUUACGAUGCUAAAGAGGUAGUAAGAUAAUAGCAUUCUGGGACUUCACAAACAAGAGAAAUUAACAUUUUUCCAAGGGCAAAUAUAUUGAAGAAGCCACACAAUCUGGAAUGAGGAACUGAAGUGAAACCGAAACUUCUGACAACGAGAACUCAUCCAAUUAAUAAGUCCAUGACAUAUAUUUACAAUGCGAAAGAUAGGCACUGUCAACAUGAAAAAUCCUACCAAGUAUCGUACCCACAAAAAUAUCAAGUCACAAGGAAGCCGCCACUCUUUUCUAUCACACUCAAAUUUGGUACCUAGUGGCAUAUGCAUUUGAACCAUGCAAAGACCAAAUGCAACCACAUAAGCAUCUACUUGAGAUAUGUCAAAACAUCUAUUUGCUCUAGUAGGAUUCGGAUGGUACCAGCUUAGUUCACCAAAAACCAUUUUGAACAAAUGAUGGAGCCAGAAUGUUCCAGCUUAGUUCCUGGCAUCAGAACAUUCCAGCUUAGUUGACCCAUACCCUUUUACCCAACAAUAAAAAGAAAAGCUAAUGCCCCAAUAGCAACAUUUCUUCCAGAAUAUCUAACUGUCAUACUUAAAAUUGUCUAAGAUAAGCAGAAGAAUAAAUUAGCCUCAUCCGAAGUUCAAAUGCAGUUGACUAAAUGCUAUUCAGAUCCUUCUUCCAUAGAAAUCACCAAGCAAAACAUUGGCUGUGAAAACUAUCAGGUAUACUCCUAAAUAAAUCAAUCUCCAUAAAAGGAACACUUCCUAUGGAAAAUUAACGCAAAAAGAACUUCCCUCUUGAUUCACAUCAGAAAAAGGAAUUAUCAAUGUCUUUCCUGUUUAAAAGAACACAGUUACAGCUCCUCAAAGCUACAUAACUUCCACGUCCACACAGAUUUGCAAUAAAAGUAGACAUCUAAAUGUAAAGGAACUGCUAUUAAGAGAUUCAGACUCUAAAGACUGCUUUACCAUCCAAACAAACUAAAUCAAUGCCACAAAUAAUCACAAUAAUUAAAAUCAAGGAGAGUAAUCACAGAACACUGUAAAACAAAUAUAUACUAAGUUACCAAGACAAACAAGACGAAAUAAAAGCAAAAUAAUUAUGAGAAAUAAUACUGAUAUUAAAGUAAGUAAACUGAAUGCUUCAAGAUACAAGAAAAAAAAUUACCUUUCCUUCUUAACUCUCUAUCUCCUCCGGAGUUGACACAUGAAAUUUCUCUGCAUAAUACCUUUCCUUGUAUCCAGGCUCCCCUAAUCUAACCUGAUUCCAAACCAUAGUGUAUCAAACUCAAGAAUUGAUUAUUUAGCUCGUAAAGCUUCUCAUGUUUCCUUUGAUAUAUUGAUAAUGGGACUGACAAUAGAUAUAAUUCAUCCACAAAAAUAACACAUCAAAAAGUCAAACUUUUCAAUUUAUCUAACUACUCAAAAUAUGUAAAAGGUAGAUCAUUCUCUUCAGAACGCUUAAAAAAUGGUAUCUUCGCUCAUAAAAUGUUCACUUGAGAGCAUACAGAAAAAAGAAUCUCAGUUCAACGGUACACCGUGUGAAACUUAGCUUCUCCCAUCUGCUCCGCCGCCCCCCCCCCCCCCCCCAAAAAAAAAAAGAAAAAAAAAAGAAAAGGACACACAAGAAAAAAUGAACAUAGCAAAAAUACUCUGGCCCCCAAAAAAGAGUAGCAUCAACACCAUUCAAGCUCAUGUAUGGUACACAUUGGAGUCCAUAAGACAUCACUCAUCAUAUAAGACUAUGCUUUCGGUUAGACAGCGCAAGAGUUAAAUAAUGCUAAAAUCUAUUGAACAGAGGGGUUGGAGUAACCAAAGCUAGGAAGAUAUAAAAGGAGCCACUUAAAGAUUAUUUCAUUCGACUUGUUAAGUGCACAUCUUUUCAGUGCACCUGAUCUCUUCAUUAAAUCCCAACCUACAAUCAGAGAACUAAAUCAAACUUAAUGAUAGUCCCCGCCCAAACAAAACUGCAUCAUCUUUAUUGAUUACAGAAAUUAUGACUUGCCCCAUUUCAAUUGCCCUUGAUCAAUUGAAAGUGCAAAACAGAAGAUAUUCAAUUACCACACAGGUAAAGGAGAAAAUCAACUCUUUGCAUACCUUGUCAACAACUGGACUUUGUAAUUCUUCUGAUGACUCUUCUUGAUCUAGAUCUCAUUUCUUCAUUAUUCUCCAAUGCCUAGAGAAAAUGUUGAGCAUAAAGUUAAAUAGGACUGAGUGCUGGCAUAUGUAUUGUACUCACUAGUCUGUACUAAAAGUGUCACAUGCUUUAAUUGAUUAUGAGUCCUGAACGACUAUUUUCAAUGGAAUUAAAAAAUAAAUAAAGAAAAAAUCUAUUUCCACUCCACUUGUUCCACGAAUAACACCAAAAGAAACUGAAAGAAUUUGGAUCAUUCUUCGAAUUCUCCGUCACAUGCUGCCUUACAAACAGAUUGAAUUUAUAGCAUUCGUAAAUGACCAAAGUUACCUGCUGUAUGCGAGCCUGCUUCUGAAAAUUUUGAUAUUCGUAGACAGCAACAGAGUGGAUAAAAUGUUCUACUCUGUCUAACAUGACCUGGACACGAGAAAGAAAUUAAAACUCCUCAUCAAAGAUUGUCAAUACAUUAAAUUUUACAAGAAAUGAAUAGACUAAUGGAUUCACACAACCAUCACAAACUAGGAUUUGUUGGAUUUUCUACCAAAACCUUAAAUACACACACACACACAUAUAAAAUAUAUGUAUAUAUGAAAAAAUAGACUCUGCAUAUAGCAACUGAUUUGAGGUGUACACUGAAAUAAAUUAAAUUCGCAAGAGUUAAAACAAAAAUAUAAGAAAAAAAAAGCAAAAUAGAAAAUGUCUUUCGAAAAACAUACUGACAGAAAAUAGUUAUGGCAGCUAAAAAUAACUAGAAAAGCCUUGUGGAAACCACAUCCUAAAGAAGAAAUAAACUCUUCAACAAACAAGAACAUAUAACCCGAACAACUAGUAUUAGUGCAACCAACCCACGAAUUCAUCAUCCAACCACAACAUUAUCCAACUGGAAACUGCAUAUCAAAGGAUGCAUAAUGAAACUACCUCGCCUGCUUCAGUAAAGGUAACCUCCCAUGGCAGUGAACCCCCUCCUAUAAACCAUCACCAGUAAAUUGAUAGCACCCUGAAGAACAGAAAGAUGCACNNNNNNNNNNNNNNNNNNNNNNNNNNNNNNNNNNNNNNNNNNNNNNNNNNNNNNNNNNNNNNNNNNNNNNNNNNNNNNNNNNNNNNNNNNNNNNNNNNNNNNNNNNNNNNNNNNNNNNNNNNNNNNNNNNNNNNNNNNNNNNNNNNNNNNNNNNNNNNNNNNNNNNNNNNNNNNNNNNNNNNNNNNNNNNNNNNNNNNNNNNNNNNNNNNNNNNNNNNNNNNNNNNNNNNNNNNNNNNNNNNNNNNNNNNNNNNNNNNNNNNNNNNNNNNNNNNNNNNNNNNNNNNNNNNNNNNNNNNNNNNNNNNNNNNNNNNNNNNNNNNNNNNNNNNNNNNNNNNNNNNNNNNNNNNNNNNNNNNNNNNNNNNNNNNNNNNNNNNNNNNNNNNNNNNNNNNNNNNNNNNNNNNNNNNNNNNNNNNNNNNNNNNNNNNNNNNNNNNNNNNNNNNNNNNNNNNNNNNNNNNNNNNNNNNNNNNNNNNNNNNNNNNNNNNNNNNNNNNNNNNNNNNNNNNNNNNNNNNNNNNNNNNNNNNNNNNNNNNNNNNNNNNNNNNNNNNNNNNNNNNNNNNNNNNNNNNNNNNNNNNNNNNNNNNNNNNNNNNNNNNNNNNNNNNNNNNNNNNNNNNNNNNNNNNNNNNNNNNNNNNNNNNNNNNNNNNNNNNNNNNNNNNNNNNNNNNNNNNNNNNNNNNNNNNNNNNNNNNNNNNNNNNNNNNNNNNNNNNNNNNNNNNNNNNNNNNNNNNNNNNNNNNNNNNNNNNNNNNNNNNNNNNNNNNNNNNNNNNNNNNNNNNNNNNNNNNNNNNNNNNNNNNNNNNNNNNNNNNNNNNNNNNNNNNNNNNNNNNNNNNNNNNNNNNNNNNNNNNNNNNNNNNNNNNNNNNNNNNNNNNNNNNNNNNNNNNNNNNNNNNNNNNNNNNNNNNNNNNNNNNNNNNNNNNNCCUUAUAAAAAUAAAUAAAUAUAGAGAUUUUCUUCUUCUUUUUUGUAUUAUAAAAUAUUAUUGAUAGAGUUAGAUUUAUUUUACGCGUAUAAAUAGAUGAGAACUUAUCCAUACAAAAAGCUUAUUCUCAUGGCCUCAGUGUACCUCCUAAUUUAAUUAAUGUUCAAUUUGGAUACGGUGAUAAAGAUGUCUCAAUGAGGACAAUAGUCAUACGUUGCAGGAUCCGUGAACUCUAGACUGCUAGAAUCUAAACUAGAUGGGAUAUAAAAAAUGUGAUUUUAGAGUGCAUUUAUUUCGAUCAUUGCUGGUGAGUGAGGACAAAAGUCAACGUGUUCAUGUCGUCACGUUCGCGCGUGCUACACGCAAGCCCGAGUCUGGGUUCUCGUGUUGAAUCACUUCGUACUGUGUUCGCUCGAGAUGCUGAUUUCGCCCAAGGCUCGACUCUGGUGUGAUUCCCGCGAAGUGGCCUGGAGCUACUUUGCUUCCUUCUAGAAAUUGUAGCCCACCAACUUGUUUGUAAGAAUAUGCUGUGUGUGCUGAGAGAAGCGGCUGUUUCGGAUUGUGCGGCGACGAAACACGGUGGAAGGGGAGUCCCUUAUUGCGAAAGAUGUCACUGAUGCAAGCAGUGUUGCAUCUCCUUCAGCACCAUUUGUGUAGAUACAGUUGCUAAGGCGCUGUACUCUGAUCGAGUGCUGUUUCGGUGCAGAUAAUUGGCAAGACGCCCCUGGUGUACCUCAACCGUGUGGUGGAGGGUUGGGUUGCCCGAAUCGCUGCGAAGCUCGAAAUGAUGGAGCCCUGCUCAGGUGUCAAAGACAGGUUUGUAAUUGGAAUUUGAAUACUGUGGUGUCCAUUUCCAGUCAAAUUACAGAUUCCUCACGAUGCCAGGAGGUUGGCACUUGUCGGAAGAAGCAUGAAUUUAAUCCCCACCUCUGGUCUAUAUAUUAUUGCGUAAAUGAAACAUUUUCUUUAGCGAUGUGAUUUGUUCUGAUGAAUUGCAGUCACAGCCAAUGCUUUUGUCCUUUGUCCUUGAUUGUAGGAUUGCGUAUAGAAUGAUUGCAGAUGAUGAGGAAAAGGGUCUGAUUAAACCGGGAGAGUUUAAGUCCAUUUGUAAAAGCUGUUCAGAAUGGCAAGUCUAUUACAUUCAUGUUGGAAAGCCUCUGAUUCUCUAUAUCGCUUGGUGCCUCUUGGGCGAUGUAACUGUUGGUGUGAUCCAAGUUGGUUGAAUAAAUUGCUCUUGGAUUUGACAAUCAAAUAAGGCAUGAAUGUGCUUUAAAUCCUCAUUUGUCUAGUACAUCAACUACACUAAAAAAUUGCAAAGGUUCAAGUUUGUGUCUGAUAAACUUAAUGUAACAAGAAAAUGUUUCUAUAUGUGCCAAGUGAAACUAUGGAACUAACGAAACUUCCUCUGUUGUGAUGUUCAACAAGUGAAGGGAGUAUCGAGUGGCAAGCGGCACGAGUGGACGAGUGUUAAGUGGCAAACAGAAAAGUUGUUUCUUUCGUUUUGGCAAAUUGAAGACUAAGAUGACAAAUAUAACAAAAGAGAACUAUUACUAGAAGAGAAUAUCGUAAGGAGCUAUUUAUGUCAUUUUCUGCGCCAUGAAGACUCCUCACAAAAACAUUUUACUCAUUCAUAAAUUAUGACUAUUGAUGUCAUAAAAGACAUUAAAAAUCUAAACUAUUAAAUAAUAAUGUAAAAUUACUUAAAAUUCUCACUAAAAAGUUGUUUAAUGUUAUUGAUGCUAUUAAUUUUAAGAUUUUCACUAUAUAAAAAAUUAUAUAUAUAUAUAGUCAGGGUUGGUCCAGGUUUGACCGACCCUGAACUCCGAGGACCGAGGACCAACCGAUAUAGUGUUGAUCUAGGAAUUCUAAGACCAAGGACCAAUCCAAUCUCCUGACAAACUAGACCAGGACCGGCAGGGUUGGGCCGGUCCAGGGUUGACCCUGGAUCUAGACUGACCCUGGACCGAUGCUCACCCCUACUUCCAACCAUGUAAACUUUCGUGUUAGCUUUCAUAAUUGUAUUGUAAGUAUAACCUUCUGCAUUCGGCGAAGGGGAAUGGUGACAAUUAAUACUUCAGAUUUACUGUUUUUACUUCCUCCACUUGCCAUGUGUUCUAUAAUCAAAUUAACCAUAUGCAUAAAGCUGAUAGCAGUUCCCUUUCAUACUUACACGAAGAAGUAAUAUUUAGAUCACGAUGAGCAUGACUAUGGGAGAGCUAAUUCUCGCACAUGACAACUUCAUGAGUUGGAAAAUAUAGAUCAGCGUGUUAGCUUUUGGCAGCAAGGGGAAAAUUUUCGGACUGCAAUGUGCCUUCGAAGGCUCCACCAGAAAGGCCAUCGGAUUGGUGCUUAUCACCCUGCGGGGACAACGUACGUGGACAAGAAACUGUACAAGUUCAAAUCCUGCAGAGGCUCCUUCAAAUAGGCAUACUUUCUCAGUAACCCAUCUCUAACGUACUCGGCCUUCUCCUACACUCUCUGGCCAGUCCUAUCGUCCACCCCGACGAAGGCUUGAACCCUCAAGACAUCAGAGAAAUCCUCGAACACCUGGUACAGCGCCAUUUUCACGGCUCAGGUCACCUCAACAAGAAUGCCACACUAAGGAAACAGGCUAUGUUUAGACUAAGGAAUUGGGUAGGGGCCGCGCGAACGCAGGCCCCACUGCCACAAAUUAUGACGUAGGCUCGGCCACUUGGACCGACCUUGGGCUAGCACCCCUCCCGAAGUGCAAUGGAGGUCACUAGGCCCAGGCCAUGAGCUUUCUUGAUAGCCCAUUGACCCCGUCCAGGUAAGUGAUUUGCUUAUUGCCCAGGCCUUUGCUUUUACAUGGUCAAACUCACUCGCCGAUUCAGUAGCCGCUCUGUGUGGGACAAACAGAGAGAGAGAGAGAGAGAGAGAGAGAGAGAGAGAGAUAUGGAGAUGGAGAUGGAGGAGUCGGUCAGAAUUUGGGUGAAGAAUCAAAAGGAGGUUUCUUGCGAACAGGGGACUUGCGAAGAACAAAUGACAGAAAGGAUAAUUUUUGGGUAAAAAGCUAGCAGAAAAGUGGGUUAUUUGGUAGUUCAUCAUUUUCUUAUUUAUUAUAUACGUUCAGGCAUUGGAUUACAUGGAUUAUCAAUUAGAAAAUUCCUACACGUUACAACUUGAAAUGAUAGCGCGCACAACUGGAAUAGUUUAUGAUCAUUCGUGCUAUGAUAUAUGCUUUAGAAAGGCAAAUAGAUUAAGGUACGGAAUAACUUAUGAUCAUUUAGGCUGUAAUCAUUUAAUUAAUGAGAUGCUUUCGAUCAUUCAAUCAUAAAUAACGCCAUCAUUUGAUUAAAUGUCAGCCACGAUCAAUUCGAAAUAGUUUUCUAUUUCUGAUAUUCCCCGUGUGAAGGCAAUAAAUUUGACACCGAGGUUAUUCAUUUCAAGAUCCACACCCAUGUUCGUUCUCAGAUUUCAUACAUAGAACCUCCGAGAAAAUUAAUGAUUGAAUUUAAUAGUAAAAUCUGUGUGUUACCUAAAAAUAGAGUGAGAAAAUUUUUAAAACUAAUUAUUCAAUUAGUGAGGCCUAAAUCAAUUAAACUCGUCUGAAAUUUUAGAACGAAGAUAUGUCAUUUAACCCAUUUGUCCAUGCAAUAUGGUAAUCCUCACUCUUUAUUCCCUUUGCAUUAGAUAAUUCUUGUAAAACGUGGACGAUCGUCAUGAUUAAGGUGGCGUCUAGGAUAACUUCUGCUUUUGGAAUUUUGGUGCAUAUUCUACAUCGAUGAUGGAAUGCACCUAUAUGUGCUGUAAGCAUAAAUAGUUUGGGCAAAAGCUCACCAUCUCGUGGAAACAGUAUCAGGACGGGAUCGUAAAGGCUCGAAAGUGGACGGGAGCGUGAUAGCCGCCUAUGGCCGGUGAGGUCGCCGAACCCCUCCGAUGGUGGCAGCGACAAUGGUGCCUAGCCACCAGCCCUCCUCCUCUUUUUUUUUUUUUUUCUUUCUUUUUUUGUAUAUAUAUAUUUUUUGGUGAAUAAUAUAUAUUUAUAUUUUGACCCCUCAAAUAUCGAAAACUUUCAAAAUUGAACCCACGUGUGUUGAAAUUCUAGACUCGCGUCUCGGAGAGAAUUAACCACAUGUUGGAUUUUUCAACACUUGUUGACCGCGUGUCGGGACAUGUCGGAGUAUGUCAGAUACAACAUGAAAGUUCCUGAAGAGUGUCGGUACCACAUGGGUUGGUGAAUGCUAAUUUUCGUAUGAGAUAAAUGACUAAAUAGGAUAGAGAAAAUUUGUGUAAUCAAGUGUCAAACUCGAUACAUGUUUUCAACAUCAUUGAUUUUGGACGUGAUGCUCCCAAAGGUCAAGAUAUUACACAGAAAACUAGCAUUACCCUCGAACUCGAUGCCAUAUGAAGCUCAAACUUCAUAAAGACAUACAUCUGUUAAUACCAAAAACUCAAUAUGCAUAUGCAGAAACUUCAAAACCUGCGUAACACAGACAACCGAUGAAUUGAACCAGAUUUUUGUUCUUAUUCCUUUUGAUCGGUACUGAUGUUAUGAAGCCUAGCCAAAAAAAAAAAAAAAAGGAGAGAGAUAGGAUGUGAUGAAGCUUCAUUCUCAACAAAAACAAAUAAAGGGAGUCAAAAACAAUUUGUCCGUAAGAUCAGCAAAGAAUGUACUAGAGGAGAUCCAUGGAACUGAGUUACAUUUGUAUGUCUGUCCAUCUCUAAUCCAAACAAUGGAUUUUAUCAAUAGAUGGGUCAAACACAUGAUGAUUACAAGUACAUAUGAACUAUGUACAACUAACUGCAUCUACAACCUGCAAACUGAAGAGCCAAAAGCAUAUAACUCGCCAUGCCUCGUGAAUAUCUGGGUCUUCUCGCCUAAUUUCUCUGCACUAAAGAAAGACUAAACUUUGCAAUGCAACUACUGGAAGCAUGGCACUUGCUGCAACAAAAAGAAGAAAAGAAUGAUGAACGAGCUAAUAUUUCUGAAGGUCCAAAAGAAAACGAGACUUGAAAAGUUUCAGAGGCAAUGAUUUAGAAUCAAGGCCAGAUGAAUCAAAACCAGCAGAUUUUAGACUGAGAUACGAAGGUAACAUGGGAGAUUUAUCGCAAUUUGGGUCCAUGUCACGAUAAAGGUCAUCUCUUCUUUCCAAGUGAGAGGACCCGUGCCAAUGAACUACACAGAAGGAAUAUUGGUUCAUGAGAGUGGACUCUUGCUUUGUUCUACUUCCAUCAUAAUCCUCAUAAGCCAUGAGCCCCUUGAAAUGCUUAACUGUAGAUACAGGAAAAUAAUCAUAAUAGAUGACCAAAUCAGAGUCGUAAAGCAAGAUUUAACAACAGGUCAAGCAAGAUGAGAGAUCUACCACAGAAAACUGUAAUAAGAAGGAUAAAGAAGAUAGCCUCGUACUCCCUGCAAGCUGUUCAAAACAGGUGACAAGGGCAAUAGAAGUGAGACCAAUAGAGAAAAAAAAGCCAUGAGGGCAAGAGGAGUGACAAUUGCCCACAAUUCUUGCAGUAAUACGUGAAAAUCUUGCACUAACAGAUAAUUACCACAAUUAGUUAGAAAUUACAGUUCACAUAAUAGUACAAUUAACGACAAGUCUUGCACUAACACGUAAUCAAGAACAUCUCUAGGACACAGACCAUGGCAGAAUAGCAAUUUUUUGCCUAACAAGCUGACCAUUUGGAAGAUGAUCCGAUGAACAUGGUCAGAGCAUCGUGUAGUUUUUCAACAAUCUCCUCAAGUGUCAGGCAGUUCUCAUUUUCUAUCUGCAAGUAAUGUUGACGAAACAAGUGUCAGGCAGUUCUCAUUUUCUGCUCUGAAUAAGAAGAGAUUAAUUUAUACAGCAACCUGUCAGUAAAUCUAAUAAAAAUGCAACAAAAAGUGGAUUGAACAUUCUCUAAGAAUUCUUGCACAUAUGAUAUUUAAUUUUUAACAGUAGUUUCCUUUGGUAUGUGGAAUUAGUAAUCUUCCCUCAUUUAUUGUUAUUUUAGAUUUUAAAAACUCAAUGCAAAAGCUUCUGGGGAUCACGAGAAGUGACGCCAAAGCUCGUAUAAUUAACAAGGAACCAUAUUACGGACUUUUCCAUACCAAAAUCAGAAAAAGAAGAAAGAGAAAAAUCUGGAUAACAGUUUGUAUCCAAGAAUAUCUGAACCGACAAUAUGCUCUCCACAAAGGAUCAGAAAAACUAGUUGAAGUUUUAAAAGACUACUUUUCAACUGAAACAAUAUGAAGAAAUUGGCAAUAAUUACCUGGGCCACAAUUGUAAUAUCCAAGAGGGAACUCCCAAAUGCUAGGACGCUGAUAUUUAGAGUUGUCAAGUUCAUGUCCUCCAUUUGUUUCAUCACUUCCUUGAUGCAACCCUCGUGCUUCUCACAGUGGACUUUAAUCAAAACGUUCGUCCCCAAUACCCGUGCUUCGACCUCAGGUAGUUGCUGAUCGAUGAGUGGGUCAUAUGACUUCUCAUCGGAUGAUAAACAUAUGACGCCAUCACCGCGUUGGAGCAAUGGCUUCUUUGCAAAUAUCACAGAUUCCACGGUUCUCGUGGCCACCUCUUCCUCGAGGAUCUUCACAUAUUCCUCGAGCUGUUUCAAGUACUUUAUCGUAUCUCCUAGAAGCCUUGUCCAGCUAUGCAACCAGAACAUUUAUCAAUUUUUUAGCGGGAACAAUGAAGACUUAUAAUGUGAUGAAUUGGGAUACAGUGCUACGUUUUUGGUCCCUAAGUUUACUGGCGAUUGAUAAAGAUCGUUGUAAGUGGUGGAACCUUUGUUAUGUUGACUAUUUCAAUAAGAGGUGAGUCUCAAUUUCCAAACAAUCCUUAAGCAAGUACCUGUAUAAAUCAGACUAUUUUACCUAGAGGUCAAAUUUAUGUUGUUUUGUUGAGCAUCUUACCUCUUAAAAGGGUUUUGUUUUCCUCCAUUGUUUGUAGGGAUUAGUUUUCUGAUUGAUGAAACGACUAUGAAUAGUAUGAAAAGAAUGCUACAAGUACUCUCUAAUGAUCUCAAAUCACUAACUAGCAUAAACAAAUUGUUAUGCAUGAGAUAUGACUUAUUCGAUUGAUUGUCCUUUGAUAGUCAUGACAGUGAAAAUUAAGCAGUAGAAAACAAAAUUCAAGCUCGAUUUUAAUUUAUGAAGACAAAACUAAGGAUCUAGAUGUGGUAAGCAACUAGAAAGAGAUUGACACACCUCUAGACAAGUGAGAAGACAGUAUCUUUCGACAUGUAAAAGAUAUUGACUUGUACAAAUUAUACCCAUCUAAAUUGUUUGAUGAUAGAUGGAUAGAAUCUUAUCAUUUGAUGAUAGAUGGGUCUAAUUUUAUCAAAUUUUAAAUGCGUGAAUAGUAUCUAGUAAUAUUUUAUUACAAAAAGGAAUAUCCAAUCACUAACAUGGUGCAAAUAUGUAUCAAACCAUCUAAAUCAACUCAAUCAUCAUUGAGCUUGAGUGGUUGAACGAUUUUCAUGAAUUCCGACGUAAUAAUACUUGACAUUAGCAAUGCUUUGCCCAUAUGUAGUUGGGUAUUAAUCUAAAAUGAUAAUCAUGAUUCACUUAAAUUGUCUAUCAUUGAUUUACAGUUUCUUAAUUUAUGGGCAAACUGUGUUAGUUUAACUUUACUCCUUAAGAGAACACACACAUGUUCUCAUGAAUAUGAUGGUCAAAACUAAUUUAAUUCAUUAACUACAAAAAAAAUAAAAGCUCUUUUCCUCAAAUUAUUAAUCUCUCUGAUUCUCUGAUCUUGGUCUUUGGUCAUGCCCUCUCAUGGAUUCCUCUCUCUUAUUUGAAGUCAGCAACUGCUUUCUACAUUUUAAUCUAAGGUGUAUUGGCAUAUAAUCUCUAAUCCGUGCAUGUCAAUUUAAGCGAACAACAUGUAAGGCCACUGUCCAAGUACCCAUUUGCCAAUCUCAAUCUCAAAAGUCUACCUUAUGUUUCACAUUAUUCACAUAUCCAAUUGCCAUUGUUGACAAUUAAUAUUCAACUCUUUAUUAAUAUUAAGACUAAUAUACAAUAAACUAAAAAUGAUCGAAAUAUUAGCAAUAUCAUGUCUAUUAAACAAUAUAUCACAUACACGAUUGUAUGUGAAUAAUUGAUUAGAAGCAUAAAUUCUUGUUAGUCUUUUAAUCACUAUCAUACUUUGUAUGAGAGGCCAUAUGAUAAAAUUUGCGACAUAGAUUUUUCUGCUUAGCUAACGAUUAAAUUUGAUAAAUACACCCAUUAUUUAAAGUAAUUAAAGCUUGACUGCGCAUUAAUUUAAUUGCACAGAUUAAACCACUAUAUUAAUCAUUAUAUCCAUACCGACGGUUAAAUUUUAUAGUCAAUUCCAUAUUAAUCAAAUGUAAUAAUGGGUGUAUUUAUUCAACCUUGUGAUUUUCAAUUGUCACUUUUAGAGAAAGUUAUAACUGAUUUAACACUCACUCUUUAUCUACACUGUCGAUUUUUAAUGCAUUACUUGCACUAUAAAGGUCUGAACAAGACCACCAAAUCAUAUUAUUCUGAGCAAAAGAGUCAUUAGUAUAUCCACCCCGUGCCUUGGAAAGGGACAAAUGGGUCUAAUUACUUUUAAGUCAACUAAUGACAUAUGAUAUUAGCAUGCUUAUGAAAACCUAAUGUUCUUUUGAGUUGGCCUUCCUCCAAGCAUAAAAUAGACAUUUAGGAUAUGAAGAUCACAUCAUUCAAAACGGUUGUACUUGAAUAACUUGGUUAUAAUUGUUGAAGCUCAAAGUUGAUGGGUUGGGUAUGUUUCAAACUUUUCAUGCGAUAAUUCAGACUUGAUUUCUAGCUAAAACUCAAAUUCUUCAUUUUGACGAUGGUGGAAAGUAUGUUGAUAAGGAAUUUCAAAAUUAUUUCAAGAAUCUUGAACUACUUAAUGAAACCUCCUGUACUCAAACACCAUAAUAGAAUAGAACAAGGGGAUUUCCGCACAGAGUAAUAAGAUAUGUGCAACUCCAAACACCCAAACAUGAAUAAAACGUUAUUAUUUAUAAUAGAUAAUGACAUUGACUUUAAAAAUUUAUAUAUGACAUAUAAUCAUCAACUCGUUAACAAAAUUUUUAGUUGUAUAGCUAAUUCCCUAGUUAAUUCAUAUUUGUAAUAUGCCUAAAAUAUUCGCACGUGGAUCAUAUAAAUUUAGAAUAUGCAUGGUCGUUUAAAGAUAUCUUGAACAUAAGUUAAUGAAUUCAGAUAAAUUUUAACUUUAUAAUAACGUUUGUCUGGUUAUAUUAUUAACUUUUAUAAUUGGAAUUCAGAUAAAGUCAUUUAUAUUUCAUGUCUGAAUCGGGAGAUGACAGUGCCUAUUCAUAAAAUAGUAAUAGAAAAAUCACUCUUUGCACAAGUAAAUUUAUUUUAGAUCUUAAAAAUAAAUGAUAGUGCACAUUAAAUCAGCAUGCUUAUGAAAAAUCAUGUCCUCCAAGGUAGAUUAUAAAAUUUGACAUGAAUAUUAUAAUUUAGUGAUUACUUGGGGUUAAUUAUUAUUUUGGGCCGUAUAACGUAAAGAUGUACAUUACUUUUCAUAAAAGCUUAUUUGGCAUUUGGUUGUUAAAACUCAUUAACAAAAUUUUUAAUGACAUUUAAUCCAUGAGCCCACCAUUAUUCUGCUUAACCGGUAAAGUUGAACAUUGUGAUGUUUGAAAUAUCUUCUCAAUUUAUGGUUCAUCCACAUAUAUUCAUUAACCUUUGUUAGAGAAAACCCCUAUGUUAUUUUGAAGCUGAUAAAACUUAUCUAAGUUCUAUUUUGAAGAUUGCCAGACUUCCGUGUCAAAAUCUAUCUUUUAUCGGAAGUCUGCACACUCCAACAAAUUCCAGACUGAACGCAAAAAUGAAGACUUAAUCAAACUCUGAAUUAUUUUAUUCAAGAUUUCAAUACGUACAAAAUAUAUCAAGCUUUCUAGUUGGAAAUAUCACUUACCAUAUUGGUUAUCCUAAUUGGAAUCAAUUUCGAAUAAGCAAAUCAUUUUUGGAAGGCAAGCUUAUUUGGAAAGAAUCUACUUAUGGAAAUCAAGAUCCUGAUUGUAUGGGCGAACAUGAUUGAUGAGCUUUCAUCUCAAUCUUCAAAUGACUCGAGAUCUCCUUGAUUGAUUCUCUAUCCAACUGGUUGAUUGGAAUAAUUCCUCUGAAAAGUGCCAACGGUCAACAAGGUAUGGAAGAGUAUUUAAAGGGAUUUUUGAAGUCAUUCGAAGAGAGCGUGAAAGAAGAAUUCCAAAGUUUGAAGCUUCCAAUUCUAUUAUUCUUCAUCUUUUAGUGCUUAAGCUUGUAUUUGAAAGUGAGAAACUCUAUAGAGUGAUCUUGUGAGAACAGCAGAGAUACCUUGCUGAAAAUUCAAAAAUUCGAAAUUACAGUGCGGUAACAUUCUUUUUUCGAUUCAUGAUAAAAUCCAGUUAGAAGGCUAUUAGUGCGGAGAGUAGACGUAUGCUUGAUUUAAGCCGAACAAUUAUAAACCUUGUAUUUAUUUUUCUCUUCUCUAAACUCCACUUUAUUUGCUGCGAUUUACUGAUGUGCUUUGAGAUAGUUUUUAAGGUCUUAAUCAUUAUGCAAAGUCUGUACUCAAUCAGACUCAAUUUAAAAGUAAAGCAUUUUUACUGCAUUUCGCAAAAAUAUGCUUUCACACCUAUUCAUCCCCCUCUAGGUGUUCUACUAGCCUUUCAAUAUUAAAUAAUGAUUAAGGUGAAAUUCCCUAGAGUCCAAAGAAAACGUAAAUUAUUAUGACAAAUCUUCUUUCAUAGGUGGCAAAUGGGUUGAAGUAAUCCCAACUUAAUCACAAGACCUUAAAACAACCUAUCAGAGAACGAAAAUUGAGAAUCCGAAUUCAUAACGACAUCCAUUACAAUUGUCUUGAAAUUAGAUAUUUCUGUCAACUUGAUUAAUAAAUUCAAUCAUUCAAUCAUGAAUGUAUCCAUUAAUUUCUGAAUAUAAUAUGCUUAUAUUAUCACCAUUACAUGAACGACAUAUGGUGGGUUGAUGACAUUAUUUGUGAAUGAUGAUAACCUAAUUCAUAUUUGUCAUAUUAAUAUAUUUAGAUCUCAAAAUUUAAGGAAAUUUAAGGUUAUUCAAGUGGAAAUGUAUAUAAUAUUCACUCUAUCAUAUUCAAAGGGGAGAUAAUAUACACUCACUCUUUAUCAAUUUGAUUAGUGUUUACGGGUUUGUUUCAAUUGUCCUGAUAAGGCUCGGCAUCGCCACAAUAUUUCAAUUUCUUAAUAACUUGUUAGUCGUUGGCACAUUUUGACUGAAAAUUUGUUGAGACAGACUCGUAAAAGUUGAAUUUUUUUAUGUUUUUUCUCCAUAACUACAAGUCAACUAAAUUAAAGAUCUGAAACGUUUUUAAGAUGAUUGUAAAAGGUUGUGAAUUUAUGAGUCAUACUUGAAAAUUUGUGGGAAUGUAUAGUAUUUAAAAAUACCAUUAACUAAAAGUAACUGAACUUGGGCACAAACAAUUAUGAAUAAAGUGAAACAUAAGCUGAUUUGCGCAAUUCACUUCUAAAACCCAUUUGCUAGUACAAAUCUAAAUUUAUUUAAGUUAUAUUGAUAUGACAACUUCAUAAGAUUAUCAAUCUAUAAAUAAUAGCGUUUACUAUCCUCAAAUGGCACUUACUGAAUGAUUAGAUAUAUUCCAAGCACCAUAUAAUGUAUGCCAUUUCAUAAUAAAAUGUUAAUAUUUAAGUUACAAUAAUUACUAUAUGCCCCAUUUAGCAUAGCAUUAUUCUCUGCAAAUUUAGCAUAUUGGUUCAAUAGUUGAUGUAAAUUUAUGAAAAGAAAUGAAUUUUAGAUGUAUAGUAAACAAACUAAUUUGAAACAGUUUCAGACUUAAUGGCUAAAUUAAAGAUCUGGAACGUUUUAAAGAUGUAACAGUCACAUUAAGUUCUGAAACCUUAACGGUCACAUUAAAUGGUUUUGGAAUAAAUGGACAGUUUAAUUAUUUGAAACGGUUUCAGCUAAUUAAUGCUCUAAAACGGUUCGAAAAGUAAUGGUCAAAUUAAAUAUUUGUAAAAGUUACAAAAUUAAUACCCAUAAUAAAGACUUCUAAUAGUUACAAAUAAUUAUCUAGAAUAAUGCUCUGUAACAGUUACAAAGUUAAUGCAUUCAUGAUUGAAUGAUUGAAUUUAUGAGUCAUACUUGGAUCAUUAAUGUGACCAAUAAUUAGUUAAUCAGGAGAUUUGGAGUGUUGAAUAUUAGUUGUGAUUACAUUUAAUUAAAUUAUCUAGUUAAUGCAUUCAUGAUUGAAUGAUUGAAUUUAUGGUGUAUCAAAUUGAUAAAUGGUACAAACAUCAUUAAAAUGAAUGUAUUCAAUUAGCCUUUUCCCAUUCUUUGAAAGUACUUUGUUUAAUCACUGUAUUCAACUUGAUCAAUUUGUUUAAAACUUGUCAUUUAAAAAAAUUAAAUGAACAUAAGCUUCAUUCUUUCAUUUUUGUGGUAAAAAGCUAGCAGAUUAAAUAUUUCGAAUUGGUCACAAAUAUGUGACCUCUACUUGGUUUUUUUCCCGAUAAGCAUCUGAUUUGUACAUCACAACGUAUCAAAAGAUUACACCUCUCACUCUUGCUGUUGUCAAAAUUUCACAACCAAUCAUUCCAAUAUAUUGAUAACCUUAUGAAGUUGUCAUAUCAAUAUAGCUUAAAUAAAUUUAAAUUUGUACUGACAAAUGGGUUUUAGAACUGAAUUUUGCAGACCAGCUUAUGUUCAUUUAUUUUUUUUUCUAAAUUAUCAUUCAGUAACUUUUAUUUGUUUCUACUAUAGAUGUCUUCAAUUCCAAUUUAUGAAAUUUUUAUUUGUGACUUACUAGUUCUCUUCCAUUAAGUUACUAAAUAGUUAUGAUUUAUCAAGUCCCAUUUGAGCUACAUACGGUUUUCUUUUGAACUUUAAACAUAUGACAAUCGAUGAUGGAAUGCACCUACACUACACCGUUUUUCAUUUUAUUAUUCGUGCUUUUAAUCUCUAAAAAGCUAGAUGCGGAAUGUGCACAUCUAUGUAAAUUAUUUAAAGAUAUCAAAGAAUCUCCCCAUCUGGAUGAUCCAAAUUAAGAUAUUAUGAUCAAGUUAAUCGUAUAGAAAUCAGAGAACGAAAAUUGAUUAUUUCCAUAUGAAUUAAUAGAUGUGAUAUUGAGAAUCCGGAUUCACAAUGCAACGUCAAGAGUGUCGAUGUUCAUGGUGUUGCCUCCUGGCCCAUCCGCGUAUACGACGAGCAACCCAUCAAAACCUUGCAGGGGACCAAUCCUAUCGCCGUUUGCCUCCCUAAUGAUAACCACAUCUGCUCAAUUGUCUACGCAUCCCCCAAGGGGGACUUUUUCCGAGACCUCCAAUCAUAUAGGACAAGCCAUUUUUUCGCACAAGAAUCAUUUGGAGUUCGAAUUCUUCAAUGGCUGUAACAUUAGGUGUUAUCUCCUAUCAACGAUGAUUAUUAUGUUUAGUCUAAUUGACACCUCAUCCAAAAGUCAUGCAUGGACAAAGUUUACUCUGUUUGUGAUGUGCAUGGCCUUAACAUUAUCCACGAUCACAUUUUUUAUACCUAUGGUCCUAUUGAGUAAGGAAGGAGAAACAAAAGACAAAAAGAUCGCAUUUAUUCAUGUAAAAGACGGAGUUGCAGUCAUUAUAUGGUUGGUACAAAUGGGGGUCAUUUCAUUGGGUCAAAUUGUUAGGUUCUUUGCGUAAAAGAGUUGUAUGUCUUUUUUCUUGUUCUUUUUUUUAAGGGGUUCUCAAUUUAUGCGGAAGCCUAUGGAUAUUUUUGCAUUUAGUCUUUCUUUUUCAUUAAUAAAGAUGUCAAAUGUUCGACUCGACACCNNNNNNNNNNNNNNNNNNNNNNNNNNNNNNNNNNNNNNNNNNNNNNNNNNNNNNNNNNNNNNNNNNNNNNNNNNNNNNNNNNNNNNNNNNNNNNNNNNNNCUACAAUAGAGUGGGAUUCAUCUUUAUUAAUGAAAAAAAAGACUAAAUGCAAAAAUAUUCACAGGCUUCCACAGAAAUUCAAACCUUCCCUAAAAAGAGGAAAAAUAAAAAAAUACAUACAAAUCUUUCACGCAAAGAACCUAAAAAUCUAACCCAAUGAAAUUACCCCAUCUGUACCAACCAUAUAAUGACUGCAACUCACUCUUUUACAUGAGUAAACAUGAUCUUUCCGUCCUUUGUUUCUCCUUCCUUGCUCAAUAGGACCAUAGGCAUCGAAAAUGUGACCAUGGAUAAUAUUAAGGCCACCCACGUCACAAAGUAAACCUUGUCCAUGCACAAAUUUUAGAUGAGAUGCCAAUUUAGACUGAACACAAUAACAAUCAUUGAUAGGAGAUAACAACUAGUGUUACAGCCAUUGAAGAAUUCGAACUCCGAAUGAUUCUUAUGGGAGAAAAUAGCUUGUCCUGUAUGAUUGGAGGCCUCGAAAAAAGCCCUCCUUGAGCAAUGCGCAGACAAUUGAGCAGAUGUGGUAGCCAGCAGAUUGGCAAACGGCGAUAGGAUUGACAUCGGAUACAUGGAUGGACCAAGAGGCGACCCCAUGGACAUCGACACUCCUGACGGUGUCAUUGUGAAUUCAGAUUCCAAGCCGAAGGGGCCCAGGGAGCAGGAACCGCCUAACGUCGUGCAUGAUUUUGUGCCUGGCUAUUAGAGUGGAUAUUAUAGGAGCUUGUAUAGGUUGUGAAAGUGGAAUUUAACGCCGACCUUGAACUUUUUUGUUAGUAGGUCGUGUAGGAGUCGCUUUGUAGUAAGUUUGUACAUAUCAUACUCCUUGGGUUAACCUGUUAAUGAAUAAAUCAUAGUUUGUGAAAAAUCGUUGUGUUUGUACUAUCACUAUUUCUGAUGGUUGACUGGGUGUGUAUUUAAUUC